rnacentral:tRNA from 1 species
UGGAUAAAAGCUUUUCAUAGCAUUUAGCUGUUAACUAAAAAGAAAUAAUAAAAAUAUUUAUUCAG